UACGGAGGGGGCUAGCGUUGUUCGGAAUUACUGGGCGUAAAGCGCACGUAGGCGGCUUUGUAAGUUAGAGGUGAAAGCCCAGAGCUCAACUCUGGAAUUGCCUUUUAGACUGCAUCGCUUGAAUCAUGGAGAGGUCAGUGGAAUUCCGAGUGUAGAGGUGAAAUUCGUAGAUAUUCGGAAAGAACACCAGUGGCGAAGGCGGCUGACUGGACAUGUAUUGACGCUGAGGUGCGAAAAGCGUGGGGGAGCAAACAGG
rnacentral:rRNA from 1 species